UUUUCCCUGUUUUAAAAAAAUUGUGCAGGGAAUUUGCAAGGCCCCUAAAUACUUCUGAAUAUGUCAUGGAUUUCAAGAGUAAAGCAAGUUUCCGGAAACUUACUUUGCUUGUGGCAGAAGAAAUCAGAAUUAAUUCCCCCACAUCAUAUAGUCCCAAGGAGAAUUGCAUUCCCUUGGCUACAUGAAUUAGUAUUUCCUAAGUGUGGAUCACAGAACUGAGCCCAAGGUAAUUUACACCUAAUGUAUGUUGAAUAUUAACAUAGAUACAUCUUUUAAGUGAUUUUAAGGUUCUCGCAUGUAAUAAAAAUGUAAAAUGAUCAAUCGUAAUUUUAUGUAUGCCUUAAAACAUUUUUUGUUUGUUUUGGGUUUUCAUUUUUGGCUUUUGUGGUUUUUGUUUUGUUUUUAUUAUUUUGUCCUUAGGUAGACAUUGUUGAAGGAUACCUCAAAGUACCCAGAAGGACAGGAGGAAUUGCAGAACCUCAGGCUGGAGGGUAUCCCUCAAAACGAGCAAGACACAGGUCCAAGAGAGAAGGGGGUUACUAAUCAAGGCUGAUGGGAAGAUCUCAGGGGAAUUGUGCUCAACCAGAAGACGGAGAGGCAGAGAGAGCUCUGCGACUGGAUGCAAGCCAAGAUCCUAGAUGACUCAAUUUUUCACUCUAUCAGAUGAAGACAAUACUUGCCAUCUCCCAAAUAAAGGUUAUGAGGAUUAAUCUGUCCAUAAUGCAUUUGGAGAUCCUUGCAAUAAAGAUUAAAACCAUGUAUAAAAUUUACUAUAUUUUAUAGGUGUGAGUUUUCAAGAUCAGUUAUCUUGAAACUGUUUAUUCCCUAAGAAUUGGGCCUGCAGUUUAAUAUCCUAUGACAUGAAAUACAUGGUUCAAUCUUAGUUAGGGAUCCACAGUCUUCAAUAACUAGGCUUCUGUUGGUAUAGUUAAUUAAGAGAGAUGAUAGCAAUUCUCCACUUACUAUUUUUGCCUGCAUUUAUCCUUCCUGAAAUAUGGUUGAAAUUUAAAACAUGGAAGCUGGUUACUACUUACUCCUAGACACCAUCCUAGAAGUAGCACAAGAUGGGUCAUACGGCUGAUUUAAAAUCUAGAAUAUAAAUGUGACAUAAAAUGUAGGAUUAAUAUUUCAAAAAAUACACCUGUCCUAGCCAAGGAUACUUUUUUCCUUAAUUAAAAAUGAUAUCGUUAACAUUACAGUUUACUGAUUAAAUGCCAUUUACAUAUUAGUAUUUGCCUAUUAGCAUUAGGAAGAAAAUACCUUCUAACAAUUCACAUCUGCCUCUUCUCUAAACUCAUUAACAAUUCCUAUUCACCAUAUUGUAAAGACAUUUACUUUCAAGAUUUCAGGCUUUAAUAGGCCAGGCAUGGUGGCUCACCUCUGUAAUCCCAGCACUUUGGGAGGCCGAGAUGGGAGGGUUGUGUGAGGCCAGGAAUUUCAGCAAUAUAGGGAGACCCCCAUCUCUACAAAAAAUUAAAUACAAUUUAAAAAUUAACCAGGCGUGGUGGCAUAUGCCUGGGGUCCCAGCUCCUUGACAGAGGAUAAGGUGGAAGGAUCGCUUGAGCCUGGGAGGUCUAGGCUGUGCUGAGCCAUGAUCACACCACUGCACCAGCUUGGGCAACAGAGCAAGACCCCAUCUUAAAAAAGAAAUUAAUGGUUUAAAAAAUAGCUUCAUGACUCAAGUCACUGCAGCUUCAGAGUUGUUUUAGCUUUUAGAUAGAUAGAAGUAUUUUAGCCUUUCCCAUCCUGUGUGCAAUUUAACAGCAUCCAUGAGUGUAUUUAACAAUAUUACUUUUCACCCAAAUUCUCCUAUUCAUUUUUUAAAUUCACUUAUUUUCACUUAUUAUUAUUCAUUCAACAAACAUUUAUUAAAUGCCUACCUACUAUGUGCUGAAGCUUUGCUGAGCGAAAAGAUGCAAAUAAAACAUUAUCCCUGCCUUCAAAGAAAUUCAUUGUAUAGUAGGCAAGACAUAGAAGGAAAUAUGUGUUUCUAAUUCAGUAUUUUUUAAAUCAACAAUUCAAAAAAAAAUUAAAUGAGUUUUGUAGCAUCCAUGGUUUUGUAGUGUGAUCAUG
rnacentral:lncRNA from 1 species